ACACAGGGGCCGAGUGCGGGAGAGGACAUGCGUCUUUAUCCCACAGCAGAGGGAAACCUCCCCAGGCCUCUAGUCCAGGCCUGACCCCUAUCGGGGUGGCCUUUGGGAGGGAGGGUCCCUUGGGAUGCUAGGUAAAGAUCGGGGAGGUCAGGGCAGCAGGAGCCGGGCUGGCAGGAGGCUGACGGUCCAUGCAGGUGCAUGAAGGUGUAGGAGAACUUGCAAAAGACCCCAAGAAUGAAUAUGCCUCCUUAAACGUGUGUCCUGUGUGCCCCGCUCACCUUACCCGAGACCCAGCCCCGGUCACAGAGGGAGAAAUUUGAAUAUAAGACACAAUGGAAAUAGCAAAACCAGUUCCACUCUCCUUAGUCUUCUAAACAGAAAGAGGGAUUCGAUGUGGGAAGCAGUAAAAGUUUAUUCCACACCAGGAGAUUUUAUGUUUUUGCCCCUAGAGCACUUUUCCCCUUGUUUUACUCGUGUUUCGGAAAUCUAGAAGACUUGUGAGUAUGGAGGAAAACAAUGAAAACAGCCUAACUGUUGGAUAUUUUUAAAAGAAAAUUCAGCAGAGCAGUUUACCCCCUUCCAGAUGUGGUUUCGCAUGGGCACAGUGGGACGGAAACUAGAUUCUCAACAGCAAAAGCCUUAUUUUCACUGAGAGUGGUUGAAGGAAAAUUAUUGUAUGCUGUUAAAAGAACUGAAAAACAGCAUGUGAAUCUCAUCAGCUGGAUAUAUUGUGACAACAUCAGCUGAUUGUUAUGCAUCUCAAAAUAUGAAACUCCAUCAAUUUUUCUAAAUUUGCUUUUGCACAUCAGUGGAACUUGAGCGAGCUAUCUAUCUAUCUACCUACCUAUCUAUCUAUCUAUCUAUCUAUCUAUCUAUCUAUCUAUCUAUCUAUCAUCUAGUCUAGAAAGCUGAGAAGGAAAGCAGAGACCAAAAGCCCAGCUGGAAGGGCACCUGCUGGCUGCAUCUGUUGACUGCACCUGUUAGUAGCAUCAGGAGGCACACCUGCACAAGGUGUGGAGUAGUCUGGGGGCUUGUGGGAGAGGGAGAUGAUCUGAUCGACACCACCAGUCUUCCCGCAUCCUCAGCACCACCUCCAUCCUCAUCGGAUGUAGAUACACUAUCCAGCCUCAGUGACUCGCUCCAGCUCACGCACCUGCUACAUGGACAUCGUGGAGGCCAAGCUUCUGAUCUUGGCAGGACAGUGGCUCUGCACAGCUGACCAUUUGACACCCCAGGACCUAGGGAUGGACAUGGUGAAAUAUAACAUUCUGAUCUGGCCCUAAAUCUGCUGCUUGGUCACAGAAGGCCAAGGGAAGGCUUAUGCGGUUAAGGGAAAAAACUCACCCGAAGCAUAUCAAGUGUUGUCUGCUGUCAUCAGGCUCUGAGCAGUUCUCUCUACAAUGAUGCUUAGAAAACCAGGAAGAAAUACUCCCACCUCCAAGGCUGUGUUGCUAAGUGUGUGUUUCCAGAGUUGCCUUGGGCAAAGUCCGUUGCCCAUCACCACAGCUUCGGGUCAUCGCUGCCACGAGGACUCCCCCUUCACAGGAAGAAGGGAAUCCACGCUUCCCUGCCUGCUUGGCCUGAGUUGACGUCCUUGCUCUGGGCUGUGAGGUCUACAUACCUGGCCCUGCAAGGUUCAGCCCCACGCAUGGACCUUCUGUGUCUGCAACCUCCCAGCAUCAGCACGAAAAAGCAACCUGCCGUAGAGAGCGGGGGUGUGGUCCAGCAGUCCUGCACCUGCUGGGAUGUGGAUGAGGCGCAUGCUGAGAACAACCCGGUGGGAAAGGCCUACUUUCUCAAGUGCUCCUUCUGGGAAAACAGCCCCAGGUGUUCAGAGACCAGCUGCAGACCAAACGGCAAAGCUGCAGACCAUCCCCCGCCGGCCUUUGUGACCAAGAAGAAACACCCUGUGAGUUAAGUGUCCAGUUAAAACAUGGAGAGGCCAAGGUGAUGGCUGAGCGGCACUCAGUGUUGGGUCCUUCUGGCUUGGGAAGGGCACGCCCCGUGCCUUGAGCCCUUUGUCACACGUUUUUGUUCCAUGAAACAGAUAAUUGCUGAUUUGGGGACGAUAACCUCAGAUACUAGCUAAACCAUUUUUGAACUUCC
rnacentral:lncRNA from 1 species